rnacentral:lncRNA from 1 species
GCUCUGAGUGCUGCCCGGUCACGGCGUUCGUCAAUGGUAUCGAGCUCCACUCUUAGGACCUCGUCGUUUAUCUGCAUAUCAUCCAACCCUCUGCGCAAUGACGGUUCACCUAACUCAACCGGGAGCAUAGCAUCAACCCCAUAGGUCAAGUUAAAAGGAGUUUCCCCCGUGGUUCCGUGUGGCGUACAUCUAUACCCCCACAACACUUCCGGGAGCUCUUCUACCCAC